rnacentral:lncRNA from 1 species
UUAUAGAGGAAACCCGGUGCACCCCGUUCACAAACCGAAUAGGGAGCGUACGACUGCGCAACAUAGGAAAAUUUUGAUUUCCAUAAUAUUCCAGGAACAUAGACCCAAAGGACAACGUCGGGGCCUUCAAAAGAACUCCACCCUCCAAAAGAACUUUGUUCCCAACGUUCCAUACCAAACUUAGGGAACAGCUUCCCCGUGAUCCUAACUUUUACACAAUCAAAUGGCUGUUUUCUAUUGAUACCAUCUUGGCCUUCUAGAGGCAAGACAACCCACACA